rnacentral:rRNA from 1 species
AGUGAACGCUGGCGGCAGGCCUAACACAUGCAAGUCGAGCGGCAGCGGGUCCUUCGGGAUGCCGGCGAGCGGAGGACGGGAGAGGAAUGCAUCGGAAUCUGCCCUGUCGUGGGGGAUAACGUAGGGAAACUUAGGCUAAUACCGCAUACGACCCACGGGUGAAAGCGGGGGAUCGCAAGACCUCGCGCGAUAGGAUUAGCCGAUGUCCGAUUAGCUAGUUGGCGGGGUAAAGGCCCACCAAGGCGACGAUCGGUAGCUGGUCUGAGAGGAUGAUCAGCCACACUGGGACUGAGACACGGCCCAGACUCCUACGGGAGGCAGCAGUGGGGAAUAUUGGACAAUGGGCGCAAGCCUGAUCCAGCCAUGCCGCGUGGGUGAAGAAGGCCUUCGGGUUGUAAAGCCCUUUUGUCCGGGAAGAAAUCGUCUGGGCUAAUACCCCGGGCGGAUGACGGUACCGGAAGAAUAAGCACCGGCUAACUUCGUG